GGGUCUGAGCCACAGCGGGGUGGGGUUGGGCGGAGGGAUGGGCGGGGCCUGACUCCCGUCGGGUCACAUGAUGCGGCGCACGGCCUGCCAAUAUGGCGGUGUGCAUCGCGGUGAUCGCCAAGGAGAAUUACCCUCUGUACAUCCGAAGCACUCCCACAGAGAAUGAACUCAAGUUCCACUACAUGGUGCACACGUCCCUGGAUGUGGUGGAUGAGAAGAUCUCUGCCAUGGGAAAAGCACUGGUGGACCAGAGGGAGCUGUACCUGGGCCUGCUCUACCCAACUGAGGACUACAAGGUGUAUGGCUAUGUGACCAAUUCCAAGGUGAAAUUUGUCAUGGUGGUGGAUUCCUCCAAUACAGCCCUUCGAGACAAUGAGAUCCGCAGUAUGUUCCGGAAGCUGCAUAACUCCUACACGGACGUGAUGUGCAACCCCUUCUACAACCCCGGAGACCGCAUCCAGUCAAGAGCCCAGAAAUUCCAUGGCAGCUGCACACACCUGGGAGGUGCAGCUAAUUGGCCCGGUUAAGACCGCUGAGGCACAGUAACACCUGAUCAUGGGGGCUCUCCAGAGCCAGCGAGGGGAGACUCCUGCCCGCUAUGAGCAGAAGGCAGACCUCUCUGCCCCAGUGACUGCCUGCCGGCCCACAGAUCUUCCACGGGCAGGGGGACGAAGAGUGAGGAGACUGAGUCACACAGUUCGGAACCCCCUGUCUCUAGGCCAUCAUCAUGGCAACUAUGGGCCUCACCCCUCAGCCCUUCCCAUCCUGCACCCCAUUUCAGGGUCCCAUCAUUGGCAGACACAUAGGUGGCCCAGCCUCUGUGGGGGGUGAUCAGUAAAUGACAUUGACCAGGUGGCAGACCAGAAACAGUGAAGCCCUCACCUAACCCCCUUCCUGGCUGCAGAAGGGAGAGAAGCCUAGAGACACUUUAGACAAGCCCAGUGGCCCAUGAUGGCUUGUGUCUGGGUCUGCAAGGAAGAGGCAAGAAGCCCCCAUCUUCCUGGACCCAUGAGGAGGGGCAGAAGGAGCAGAUGGCACACAGCAGCCACCCAGGCUGCGGCACCUGCUGUCCCCCAGCUGUGGCCUCUGGCCCCCCUGCUGCCGGCGCUCGGCCCCUCCCCUCCCUGAACUGUCCAAAGGCUGAUGGCUGGGCACACGUGUGGCUGCAGCUGUGGGGACCUAUCAACACCAGGCCUGGCUGCGGGGCUGAUGGCCAGUCUCCGGUGACAACCACCAAAGAAGGCAACCGUGGCUGGCUGCUUCGGCAUGGAGCAGUCCGUCCUCAGCAGCCCUUCACCUGUCCAGUCUGCCCUUGGGCCCUCGGGCAGAUAGGGCUGCUUCGGAUGGUACCGCCAGGGCCAAAUGUCUCAAGUGCCAGGCUGGCUCUGGUCACAGGCCCAGGACACUAGGGACACUCUGUGUCUCUGAAGCCUUUCACAGAGGAGAAGUGGCUUCACCUGAGCUUCAAGUACCAAACGAAGUAGAGCCAACUGAAUGAAGGCAGCACAGGCAGCUGGGCUAGGCACUAGCUGUUACCUCUCAGCAUACUUGUUCAGUGCUGGACCACUGGUGGACACACUGGUGCCACGGGCCACGGUACCACGUUGCAGUGGCCACCACUUGCACGACCAUGAUAUCCAAGGCACCCUGCUGGUGCCUAGUGACCCGCAGACACUUAAUUUUCUUUCUUUUUAAUAGGACCGGAAUCAUAGAGGCCAGAGGUCAUCUAUCUGCCUCAGAGCCUCAAAUGCUCCUUGCAUGCAGACUCUGUUCCCAGCACUUCCUGGAUCUCAUUUGUCCUCAUAGAAACCUUAUGGUCCCGAUUCCACUCAAAGCCCAUUUCAAAGAGAGGACCAGGUACGCAGAGGUGCCGUGACCUGCCCCAAAUCACACAUGGAUACUGGAGUCUAAAGCCAGUGAGUGUGGGGACUUAGAGUCACCCAGUCUCUUGCUUCCAACUGGUCUGCAGCCUCCCAGAUCUGGAGCCGCUGCUCUGCCUUUACCCUUCCCUGCCUUCCCUCCAGGAAGGGUAUCCACCUCCCAGCAUGCCCUGGGAACCUUGUUUCCCUCUCCAGCUCACCCCCUCCUGGCAGUUCCUCUGGACUGUCACCCCAUUGCAGACACUUUGCUCCCUGGUUGACCCGUCUGCAAGGUUUCCUCAUGGGAUUGCAGUCUCCCAGGGUAGAGAUCACUGUGGCAGCCCCCAUGAGGAAGUCUUUCUCUGGGGUACCUUGCCAGGAGCCUCAGGAAAAGGGUCUAGGGAGCGUGGAGGGCAGCGCCCAGGGGCCAGCUGAUAGUUGGUCUAGGCCAGGGGGGAGGGGCUGACUGCUGAGAGAGGCUAUCCCCAGGGGCCUGAGCCACCAUCUCACCUUCAAAGCAUGUAAACUGUCCACUCCCCUGAGGUGUGUCUGUGUGGUGGUAUCGAAGGAGGUGGGGAAUGUCAUUCACAGAACCCGUACCACAGCUGUUUAUUUAGAGAUUUACUGUAUGGCCAAAGAUGGCCUUGAACUUCUGAUGCUUCUGCCUCCACUUCUGAAUGCUGAGAUUACAAGUAUGUGUCACCAUGUCCAGUUUAUGGGUGCUGGGGACGGAACCCAGGGCUUUGUGCAGGCUACAGAAGUGCUCUACUAGCGGAGAUGCAUCUCUAGACCCAGCAGUUAAUUUUCCUUAAUUUUUCUCCCCUCACUGUAGUGGCUGGGAAGGCCGUCUGGAACCCUGCAGGCUCAGAAAUGCCAAUGGCAGGAACUAGGCUGGUAGACUUGUCCUUCCCAGGCUGUAUCUUCCCACUUCAGGACCCUCCAGGCACAUACCAUAAACAGCUUGGGCAGGGACUGGCCAGGUAGGAGGCUCCACCACUGGCUGUUCUGGGAAGCCACUGAGAGGCAGUUCCUGCUUCCCAGCAAGGCUACAAGUGUUAGUGGAAGUGCUGGUCCCUCCAGAGCAGGUCCUGGAGAGGUCCCGACAACCCUGAAAUCUGGGCUGCUUGAGCUGUUCCUUUUCAUAUUGUCCUACCAUAGGGUCAACCCCACGGCCUCAGCCACAUUCCUGCUGGAUCUUCAGCCUUCAUAGUCUCCUAGAGGUACUGUUCCAGCACCAUCUCAUAAAGGGGAAACUGAGACCCAAGGAGUGAUUUCUUCAGUGCCACUUAGCUGUGCGGUACAGAUUUGGAUCUUGUCCGUCAGUCCCAAGCCACACCGUCCUUUCUAUACCCAACUGCCCAGGCCUGUGUCCCAAGGUUCUGAGCUGUGUUUCCAGGCAGCUGGACAGAGGUUCUUUUGCCUGCUUGGUUGGACUUGCCUUGUUGCGAGGUGAGCAGGUGGGAGUAAAAAUGUCAUUCAUAGACAACCCUGAAAUCUGGGCUGCAUGAGCUGUCCUGGGGGCAGCGCUGUUGACUAUGCGUUCCAGGGGACAUCUACUCACUUCAGAGCCCCUCCAGGCUCCCACCAAGGUUCCUGGCUGGUAGGUGGGGCAGCCAGGAUUGGAACUGUGCAUCAGCUCCAGGCCAAGUCAUUGCUGUGAACUCUUUAGUACAGGCAACCGGCAUGGUGGCUGCCUACAGUCACAGUGGGAACCAUUUGGAAGAAGCAUGGAGAGGCCAAGGGAGCCAGAUACAUGCCCAAGCUCCUAGGGUCAACUUGCACAUGAGCAGAAAGAGACACAGGGUUGUGUGGUCAUCCAAUCUGGAGUGGUCGCUGUGGAAAUUCUGUCACCAGCUUGAUAGUGCUGCACUAUGUCUCCUGUGUGCUGUUCAACUUAGGACCACACUGUAGUUCUUGUGCUGUGGCAGGUGGGUAGGGGAUGCUGUGGGAGUGCCCACCUCCCUCAUCCCAAGGAAAUGAGGUAAGGGGCCCAUGGCAUCAUGCAGCCCAACAAGCAGCUUUCUUCUGUGUAGUAAGGAAUGUCUGCUUUCUGAAAGCCUCAGCCGUCCUCAUGCAUACAAUCCUACCCCACCUUACAGGUGGGGAAACCAAGGCAGAGUGGUCUGGUGACUUGUCCUGGAUGCCCAGCCAAGAUGCCGGCAAUAAAGCUGGAUCUGGAUAGCGUGGCCCUGCUGGUCUCAGGUGAUCCUGGCCAGCCUUAAAGGUCUCUAAAGCAUGUCCAGUGUUCCACGCUAUUUUUUCUUCCUUUUCUUUUCUUUCUUUCUUUGUUUUUUUCAGGGCUGAUAGUAUCUUCCUUCCAGUCUUCCCCAGAAAAGAGUUUAUGGGCUCCCUAUCCUGAAUCCUAGAAACUGCAUAUAGGGCCUGGCAGAGGUUUGGAGAUCUCCUGAGGGACUUGAACGAUUAGGGAACUCCGAGGCAGCGGCACCCAUACACUAUCCCAUAGUGUCGGAAGCUGGUAGAGUCUAGGAUGAUCUCUGGGAAGAAAGAGAGUGAGGGAGGCCUGGCUCCCUCCCCCUAUCCCAUCCCAGUCUCUGCCACUUCCCUGUUCCCACCCUCCAGAAAAUUCCCAGGCCCCACGGCUGCUUGUGGGCCCAGGGGAGCCCCUGUGUCCUCUACAACAUUACCCAGUUCCCAGCUGAAUGCUGCUGAGUAUCCCCAGAGGAAGCAGCUCUCUAAGGCCAGGCGGAGCCUGUGGGAAAGAACACGGAAUGUGCCGGAACAGGCCACUCCAUCCAUCACUGUCCCCAUCGGCUGUGAUUCCCAGCCCGCCCUCCUAGCUGGGAACUGGCCUAGGCCCAGCAUGGAGCUGCCCCUCUUUCUGGCUGGGUCACUUCAGACCUUUAUAUCCCUAGAAAAUUCAGAGCCUGGUUUGCCCAGCAUAGCCAGACUGACCUCUGCAGUGACCUAGGUCUCUGUGUAUCAACAGGUCUUGGAGGUAACAGUGUGAUCACAAAGUCAGGCCUGAGACUCUGGCCCUGACCUGAGUGCUCUGUGUUCUUCAUCUCCUGCUGUACCCACCAUAAAUCCAUGAGGUCAGCAGACAAGGAAACUGAGCCAUGGCAAGGUAGGGAGAUGGGCCUCCACUCCAGGAGGUCAAAUGUGAGGUUCCUUCUCAAUGGAGUCUUGGAACACACUCACAUGUGGAGACUGGACAGGGCCGCUGAAGGGGCCAGGCUGCCUCUCUCUUUCUGGGCUGACCACAGGCAGGUAGAGGCUCAAAGGCACAUGGAUGUCAGGGAGAGGCCUGAAAGGUACCAAGGCCCCCAGGUCUAGGCAUCUCCUCUGCAAGGGCAGCCAACCCCUCACAUACUGGGGGGACCCAGUGUCCCCCAAAGCAACAAGUCCUCAAUCAAAGCAGAACAAAGGGCACUUGGAGAGGAUGGGCUCAGACUCAGGACACUGACCCAGGAGGGCACUCUGUUUCCACAUCUGUAAUUUGGGGACCACAGUGGAAAUCAAAGGUGUAUGGCACGUCAUCGGAUGAGAGAUGUGUGCUAGCAAUGGCUAUUUUCUCCUUCCGUCAUGAAACUACUGUGUUCUAGGGCUGAGGAUAUGGAUAAGUUGGUGCUGGGGCUCAAACAUAGGAUCAGAGUUCAAUCCCCAGCACCCAUGUGAAAAACUGGGCAUGGAGGCAUGUUCUUGUAACUCCAGCACUGAGGAGGUAGAAGACAGGGUUUCUGGGGCUUGCUGGCCAGCCAGAAUAGUCUACUCAGCAAGUUUCAGGCCAAUGAAGACCCUGUUUCAACAACAACAAAAAGGGCGAAAGGUACCUGAUAUAACACUCAAGGCUGUCCUUUGGCCUCCACAAGCAUGUGCAUGCGAACCCCUUCCCUACACCCAUCCAUACCCACAAACAGAGAGAAAGAGAGAGACCGAGACAGAGAGAAACUAUAUCAUUCUGUAGGAAACGUGAAAUGGGCAAAAAGAAGUGGCCUUGUGAAGCUGAGAUCACCCCACUGCAUCCUCAUAACCUGGUCAGACUGUCCCAAUACUCAAGAUCACUUGAGGUCACUGCAAUGCCACACAGUGGGUAAGGAGCACAGAGCCUUUAUCUCUGGAUUCCAGCCUCUACAUUUGGCUGGGCAGUGGUCCAACACUAUGCCACCAAGGCCAAGGUAAACCCACAUGACUGGAUUUCCUCAUAUUCAGCAGGGUCGGCUAACCUUCCAGGACAUGUUCCCUGCCUGCCACUUAAAACUGACUGUCCCCUCUGCCCUCACUGUCCAGUCUCACUCUCUAGCCUCAGAUGCUCCUGCCCCAGGGCCUUUGCACUGGCUAGUGUCCCUCUGUGGAAAUGCUACCUUCUCCAGCCUUUCAUUGUCAACCUCAUCCUUCAUAGCUUUGUCACACUGCGGUCUUGUUUUGUUUUAAUGAAUCUGCUCCCCAGAGGUUCCUGGAAGUUGGGCAACACCAUUCCCAUGGGAAAGAUGGGAAAACUGAGAGGUGGGGGGUUCACAUGACUGUCAGAGGCCGCAGACUGUGAGGCUCUUUGGAAUGCUUCAGCAUUUGGAUGCUUCCACAUAGACUACUGGAGUGUCUCUGGCAGAGUUUACAUCCAUCAUCCAUCCAUCCAUCCAUCCAUCCACCCACCAUCACCCAUCUGUCCAUCAUCCACCCAUACAUCAUCCAUCCACCCAUCCAUCCCCACUAUCCACCCAUCCACUUUUCCAUCCAUUCACCCCUCAUUUACCUACCCAGCACCCAUCCAUUAAUCCAUGCACACAUCACACAUACACUAUCCACCCAUCUAUCUAUCAUCCAUUGACUCAUUCACCCAUCCAUCCAUUUAGAGAUCUCCAUUUUAAAUGGCUUUGCAAGGCUGGCAAGAUGGCUCAGUGGGUAGAGGUGCUUGCCACCAGACCUGACAACCUGAGUUCGACUGAAUCCCAGAACCCACAUGGUGGAUAAGUUGUCCUCUGACCUCCACACACAUAUCCUGGAAUGUGUCCCCACACACAUACACUACAUAAAUAAACGUAAUAAAAAAUAAAAUGUCUUUCAACCCUGGGGACCAACAGCCCCGUUUAAUCACAAAUAACCUGAUACCCUCACAAGCUAAACAACAAACUCAGACAUCUCUCAUCCUCCCUCCCCGCCACCCAUCACCUGAGACAGGGUUUCUCUGUGUAGCCCUGGCCAUCUUGGGACUCACUCUGUAGGCCAGGCUGGCCUUGAACUCAGAGAUCCACCUGCCUCUGCCUCCAACAUCUCUCGUCCUUUGCACACACAAGCAAAGCAGUGAAUAGUGAGUCCAGAUAUGUGUGAAAGUGACAGAGAGUGAAGCCACACAGCAAAGAUUCACUUCAGGAGCCUCGUAGGACCAUCAUGGCGAUGUGAUGGGAGAUGUGGAGAUCCCUGUGACCACCUCUGAGCACAGGCUGGGGACAAAAGGGGGCCACUAGAGAACCGCAGCUCCAUGUUGACAGGGUUGCCUUCCUUGAAUGCUCAGAGCCACAGCGUAUGCAUCAUGGAUAUGUCCCAGCUAUCCUGGUCCUGAGGGUUUUCCAGCUGCCUACCAUUCAGAUGGGCCCUUUAAAAUGAGAGGGGUUGGUUGAUGGGCAGCACAGCCAUGGGGGGCAGCUGUGUAGGGGGGGAUAAAUAGCCAUGAGGGGCAUGUACAAGUCCUUUGAGGCCACUGAUGUAGCAGGCAUUAGCCUGUCCUUCCCAUCCCCCAUCCUCUGCCAGGGCCCAGUCUUAGUGCUGGCUCCUGUCCUGGACAUCGAGGCCUAGCUACAGCAUCUGGAGUCACUAGAGGGCUCAUGUAAGACUGCCAUAUUUUCAACCCAGGACGAACUUCCAGGGGACAUGGCCCUCUUCUGGAGCUCCCCUGUGGUACACACAGAGGGAACUUGGGCCCUGACCUCCAGCAAAGGACUGCUUUCUCCAGCAAAGGGCUGGGUUACAUAUGGACUCUCAGGCCCAAGACACAGCAAAGAGUUGAGGGCUUCCUUUGGGUGAUUCCAUGUCUAGGGGGGUACUCUGACCUGGGGGUGGAGCUCCAUCCUGUCCUGUCCAAGGCUAGGAUCAGAGGCACUCAGCUUUGAUCCCUCAGGCAGGGAACUUGGGAAGUGGGUGGGAUGCAGCCCUAAUGAGUCCCAGGUGUCUGCUCUAGUGGCUUCCCACAUCUGGUCUCCAUCAGUCUCCACCGCCAUGAAUAAGUAAUAAUACAAAAAUACAGGGAUUAGUGUUUCCUGCUCUAUGCUCCAUUGGCCAGGCAGCACUCCUGCCCCAGUGGUGACAGGACCUGAAUCAAGCAGGGUUGGUCCUGCGUGGCCCUGCCUUCUUCUCGGAGGUCUCAGUCAGGGACAUGUCUCUGGUCUGAACUCUGCCUGCCACUGCUCUUCCUGCAGUCCAGCACUGGGUCACCUCAAGAAGGACCCAAGAACCCCAUGAUCCCCGGUCCAUGGUGACAAUGAAAGGCAUAAGGUUGCCAUGGCAACAGCGGAGGGCUGGAAGGCAAAAGACCUGGUUCCUACUCCAGCUGUGAAAACUAGGGGAUUUCCUAAAUGACUGAACCUUAGUGCCCACCACCAAAAUGGGAGCACGUUUUGGGGUGGGACUAGUUGAGACAGCAAAUGCAAAAGAGUUUCAUGGACUGAGUCUUCUAUGGUUCCUGCAGUGGGAGGCUGGGUCUGGGUCUCUUCCUUAUCUUUAGAGUCCUGGAGGACAAGAAGCAGACAGGGAAUGGGCAGCUCCAGUUCCAGCUUAUGCUGGGAACAUUGCUGGCCUUUUCUCUUCCUACACUGAGCUUCAGUUUUCUUGCUACAAAAUGGGGAGGGUUGCAAGUUUUAGGCCGGCUUGGGCAACUUAGCAACAAGCCCCUGUCUCCAGAGCAAGAGGUACAGAAAUGACCCGGGAGGCAGCUCAGUGGAAGAGCCCUUGCCUAGAAUGUGCAAGGCCCUGGGUGCAGUCACCACUGGAACAGAAGAAAAAGAGGAGAAGCAUCUAGAAUAAGUACCUAAGACAUGUGAGUAAGACACAUGGUUCUACAUGUGGGCCCAUGAGGGCAGAGUGGGGGUCACAGAGGAAGGCUGUUCUCAGCAUGCAUAUGCAACCUGCCCUGUCAGGCUGGCUCCCCUUUGCAGAGAGCCACUGUGCUAACCUGGGCUUUGGAAUGACACCCUCCCCCAUUUCACAUGAUAAACCUGUGGGUGUCAGGACUCCAUUUACAUAUGGGGAAACUGAGGCACAGAGCUAUGAUAUCACCUGCUCUGGUCACUCCACAUCAUACCACAUCCUUCCUCUGCCACCUUUACAUGCAGGACACCCCCUCCAGCUAUCUCCUCAUUGGUCAGAGUGGGCCCACAGCCCGCCCCAUCACUCCAGCUGUCUCCUCAUUGGUCAGAGUGGGCCCACAGCCCGCCCCAUCACUCCAGCUGUCUCCUCAUUGGUCAGAGUGGGCCCACAGCCCGCCCCAUCACUACACUUCCUCCCUUACCAUAUGCUUCACUUUCUCCAGAGCACCUCUUAGUAUACAAACUAUCAUGGAUGCCGGUCCUCUCCCAUCCCCGGGCAGAGCCCAGCAUACGGCCUGACACUGAGUGACUGGCUUACUACAAUGCACCCCCCACCCCACCCCCACACACCCCGCUUCCUCUGCUGCCCCGCACCAGCUCACUGGCUCAGCUGACUGGGGAACCUGUCUCUCCACUGGGUAAGCUUAGCAAGCAGCCCCUCUCAUGCUUGAAGUAGGGAACAGAAUCCCUCCUCAUGACGACUGAGACACUGAAUUGGUCCUCUGUCUGGAGCUCAACGUGUGCCAGAACUGGUCACUGCAGAUUCUCCUGCAAGGUGGCUGCUAUAUCAGCCCCACCUUACACAUCCCCAUCCUCCUCCCAACCCCACCCCAGCUCAUUCUGGAGAGGUGAGUCCACUAGCUGUCCUUUGAACAGGGCUAGCCCCAGACCUGCUGUGGCCAAUAGGAUGUAGUGAAAGAGAUGUGAGACAAUACAGCUUGGUGUCACCUGUCGCCAGCCCCACCUGCUCCCUAAUGGGACUGUGUGUGAACAGGCUCAGGCCACUUGGGGGCAUGACACACACAUGGAUGGAGCUGUUCCAGCGGACACAGUCACCAGAAUGCCUCGCACUCAACAGAGCUGCAGCCCUUGCCAGGCCAACCAUAGAGCCGAGGGCAAGGCCUGCUGUUGUACUACCCUCUGGGCAAAAUAGCCGCCAUCUUCAGCAGAUCAGCUGUGCCUGAUUUGCCAGAGUCCUGGGGACUACUGACAUUUCCUCAGAGAAGGAAGGGGUGGGGGGGUCAUGGCCCCUCAUCUGAUGUUCUAGUCACUCCUCCCAGCCAUCUGUAUGCCGUCCUGCCCUAAUUGCACCCCAGGGUAGGAUGGGUGCUAGAGUACAUAGGCUGGGGAACACUAGGGAAAGGGCCUUUGAUCUAUGUAGCUGCAGGGAGUUCUCAUCCAUGCCGGAGGCAGACAUUCCACUGCAGCUGUUUUGGUACAGCUAUGCCUCUGCCUGCAACCCUCACGCAGACUCUGUAAAUAAGCCCAACAGAUUCUAUGGCUCAUUUUCCCCAGGAGAAAAUUCCCACACUAGCAGCUGAGGGCAGAUGAGCUGUCUAUGGAGCUCACCUGAGGUGCCCCCUGCUGGAGGUCAGUGGUGGCUCCAUAGCACUCAGUCUGGGGUAGUUUGUUACACACCUAUCACUGACUGGGACAUUUAUUUACAUUGGAAACCCACGGAUCAGCAUCUGCCAAUCUUAACAUGGUGGUGGUGGUGGUGGUGGUGGUGGUGACACACGCCUUUAAUCCCAGCACUUGGGAGGCAGAGGCAGGCAGAUCUCUGUGUGUUUGAGGCCCGCCUGGUCUACAGAGCUAGUUCCAGGACAGUCAGGACUACACAGAGAAACCCUGUCUUGAAAAAAAAAUUGUGAUAUAUCCACACAGCAGAAAACCAGAAAACUUCACCACAAUGAGAAAGGGACAUACAACAAAGCAUGGCAUUGGCUCCAUCUCAGAAACACAGCUGAGCGAAGAAGUCAGGCUCCCAAGAACACACCCUGAAGGGCCCUGUGUAUGGAGUGUGUCAACAGCCUAGUAUGGUGUUCAAAGUCAGGAAGGUACUUUCCCAGGACAGGAGGGACCCAUCAGGUAAUGUCUGUGUAUAUGUGGGUACAGUGAGUUGUCUUUAGACUGUGUUUUUCUCUGUGUGGCUAUACCCCAAGUUCUUUACUUCCAAACACGCCACAAGUGCCAUUCACUGAUACAGCGAAGUGGGCCACGAGGGAAAACUCAUCCAGAUGACAGUGUGCACCUCCAUUGCAGACAAAAACAUGUGGAGAAAAUGGAGCACAGGCAACAUGGGGUGACACUCCUGGGCAGGAGGCCGUGAUGUAACGCUUCCAGAACAAGAAUCCGAGGUCAGAAUCUUCCAAAGAAGAUGCCAGAGCCCUUGGCCCAGCCUAUGAGAGCACCCAGAACCCGGGCAUGCUCAGUUCUCACAGCACCCUGGGCCAAACAGAGUUAAAGUCAGGGAGGGUGGGGAACACUGGAAUCAAAGCCUUCCAUGCUGUCCUCCGGGCUGCAAAUGGGAUCCAGAUGUCCAGGCCCACUCACCCUGCGGCCGGCUUGCAAAGGAAACACAUUCCUCUCCCAGCUGCUGGGGCUGCGCAGCCAACAACUCCCAGAGAGCCGUGGGGGAGGUGCUCCACCAUCUGGGCUGCCCACUGCCAGGGGAGGCUGCCAGGCUAAGAGAAGGACACGGGGAAGGGACCCCUCAACUCUGCGUGGGUCCUGGCAUGCAAAGGGGCAUGGAUGGAUCUGAACCCUCCCCUCCGUGACACCAAGAAGUCACCAUUGCAGCCUGGCACAGUUUAUUAGAUACAAAUGGCAAUGAUAACGGAGGUUGGGUUAUGACUACCUGGGUACUUCACACCUGCCUCACUGGCAGAGACAGCCCCCUGGCUAGGGUGUCAUUGGGUACUUAGGGAGUGUGCCUCACCAUGUCCCUCAAAGAGACCAGGACCAAGUCGUUCAGCAGGGGGACAUGCAAAAAGCCAUCAGUCAAGAAAAAUGUGGAGCAGGAGAGAUGGCUCACUGAGUCAGGUCCUUGAUGUACAAGCAUGAAAAUCUGAGUUCAGAUCUAGAAGUGGUAACACGUGUCUUCCAUCUUGGUGUUCCUAUGGUAGGAUGGGAGGUGGGGGCAAGAUAACCUCAGAAGCUUGUGGAUGGCUAGCCUGAUGAUGUCCUGUCAGAAGAGAGACCCAGGCUCAAGCAAAGUGGAAGGAAGCUUAGGACUGCUGACACCUGAGAUUGCUCUCUUACGUCUACAUGCACACUGUAGCACGCGUGCAUGCACACUCACGAGUGUGAGUGUAUGAAUGCAUCUGUGCAUACAUGGUGCUUCUGUGUGUGUGUGUGUGUGUGUGUGUGUGUGUGUGUGUGUGUGUGUGUGUGUGUAUGAGCAUGCCUGCCCUGGUUGUGGGGGCUGGUGUGUACAUGUACAUCUUCUCUAGUGAAGGGUAUGUGACCUAGGGAGAAGGUACAACACCUAGUCACAAGGUGACCUCAUGUGUACGUGUGAUGUUUCUGCAAGGAGGGAGAGGCCGCUUCUGAAAAGUACAGGUGAGAAGGGCACCUCCUUCUCUCUGCCUCCCGGCUGUCCUUGAUCUGUAUUAAAUAGUCCUUGACUUACUGUUACAGUUCACAGCGUCAUCAGCAGUGCCAAGCCUGGGUCACCUCUGGGCGGUAGAGGAGGAAUGAGCUCUGCUGGGCUCGAGGCCGCGGGGAGACAGUGACAACAGAGAACUACAAGUCACCACAAGAGUCACUAAACGGGCUGAACGAUGGCUCAGAUGGAAGACGGCUUAAGGGAACACACUUCUCUUGCAGGGGACCCGAGUUUGAUUCCCACCCAUGUCAAGUGGCUCAGAACAGCCCAUAAGUCCAGUUCCAGGAGGCUCAGACGUCUCUGUCCUUUGCAGGUGCCUGUAAUCACAUUCACACCCCCUCCUCUACAUAAUUAAACAUCAUAAAUCUUAAAAAUGAAAUACACAUUUUUAAAUCACUAAACAAGUACAGCACUGGAAGUGGGGCCUGUCGGCGCAGUCUUGCAACCCCAGUCACCUGGGACAUCUGGGCUGAAGGAAUGCAAGCUCAAAACCAGCCUGGGCAACUUAGUGAGACCUUGUCUCAAAACAGAAAGUUAAAAGAAAAAAAAAAAGAGAGCCGGGAGGCUGGAGAGACUAGACGGCUCAGAGGAAAGAGCACCAUCUCGGACAGUUCACAGCCACCUCCGAGGACCUGACAUUCCCUUCUGGCUUCUUCGGGCACCUAUACGCAUACGGCACUCACACGUGUGUGUGUGUGUGUGUGUGUGUGUGUGUGUGUGUGUGUGUGUGUGUGUCUCUCUCUCUCUCUCUCUCAUACACACACACACACACACACACACACACACACACACACACACACACACACACAGAAUAAUAUUAAAAAACAAACAAACAGGCCAGGUGUGGUGCUACACACCUCUAAUCCCAGCCCUCAGACGGCAGAGGCAGGAAGAUCUCUGUGAGUUCACAGCCUGCCUAGUUUACCCAGCGCAUUUCAAGCCAGUCAGAGCUACACAGUCAAGGCUUGUCUCAAAUAAAUAAGUAGCUAAGGCUCAGUAGUAGAGUACAAGCAUGUACAAGGCUCUGAGUUCAACUGCCAGAAAUUCAAAACGAAGAAAUAAACAACAACAAAGCCACAACUGACCAACGGCAAACCAGAAACAUGACAGCAGAUCCUUUAAAGGAAAACCAAACAGGGAGCUGACAAACCUCAGGAACUCCCUUGCCAUCGCUGAGGUGUGAAUUGGUCCCACCUGACUUCAGUGGUGACACCCAGCCCUGUGACAGCCCAGGGCAGGGCAGUACCUGAGCCCUGAGAAAAGGCUAGCAAAGAGUCUGAAACACAAGCCGGCAGCAGGACUUCCCUGUGCUAGCAGAGCAAGGAGCCCUGGGUCCGGCAGAUUCCCAGGGUUCUCACACCACCUCGAACCCGCGGAGGCAUGCUGCAAAGUUACAAUCACAACACUGCUCACCUGGAUGCUAAACAAUAACCAGGGACCAGUGGUCGUUCAUGAGGGUCCCAUGGAGAAUGCUCUUCCUUACUCACUCCAGUGAUACCAUGAUGGACAGGUUAUACACAUGGAAGACAGGGCUUUAGAGACCACAGAGGGAGACCUCAGGCUUCCGCCCUCAACCGAGGAGGUGUCCUGUAAGCUGCUGUGGAUGGUGCAGAGUCAGCCCCAUAUGGUACCAACCUGAUGCCCACUGUGGGAAGCCCAGCAGCUCCUCAGAGUCUGGAAGGGACAGGCCUAUGGCUUUCUCUCUCCUAUCUUGCCAAGGUGAAGAAGCACGAGGAAGCAAGCAGAUGUGAGUAAGCUGGGCACGUGACUCCAGGGUUCGUAUUUUGAUACAAGGACAGCAUCCCAGUUCAUUCCACCAAUCUCUGCUCAGCAAACAGUUCCUGCGCCCUCCUGGGGUGUUUCUGGUAUUUCUAGCUAAGUAGCUAAGUGCAAUUUCAGUCAUGUAUACUCUUUUUUUUUUUGAUUUUUGGUUUUUCAAGACAAAGUUUCUCUGUGUAGUUUUGGUGCCUGUCCUGGAUCUCGCUCUGUAGCCCAGGCUGGCCUUGAACUCACAGAGAUCCUCCUGGCAUUGCCUCCCGAGUAUUAGGAUUAAAGGCGUGCGCCACCGCUGCCCGGCCCAUGUAUACUCUUAAAAAAGAAAAAGAAAAAGAAAAGAAAAGAAAACCAAAGCAGUUUGUGGUGGUGCAGCCUUUAAUCCCAGCACCAGGAGGCAGAGGCAGGUAGAUCUUCAUGCGUUUGAGGCCAGCCUGGUCUACAGAGUGAGUUCCAGGGUAGCUAGGACUACAUAGUGAGAACUUGUCUCAAACAAAACAAAAUCAACCAAACUCCCUAAACCAAGUGUCUCCAAGUCAACUGCUCUAACAUAGGCAUUUCUCCACCCAACAAAGCCAAGGUGUUUUCCAGUGUAGCCAUGGAGCUCAGAACCCAGCCCUGCACUGCAAUGGGAUCAUCCUAGCCCUUUUGAGAAUUACCACGGGAACACCAUAUAGAAUUAGAGUAAUUAACAUGUCACAAAGUGAAAAGCAGGCCAGACAUACAGUAAGUACUUAAUCUGUGUCACUGGAAUUGGGCAACUUCUGGAGUGCAGGUUUUCUCAUGUGCCAGCUCUCUGUGCCCUCCCCAGCGGUGUCACUGAGUCCUCGUGCUCCAAGUCCUUGUGAUGGAGGAAUGUACAUUCCAGUGCCCGAGAGCAUUUGACAGGUGGCUAUGAAAGGGGAACUGAAUUUAAACUUUUUAUUUCACUCUAAAUUUCAGUCACCACACGAGAAGCAUGGCAGCCCACUACACAGACUCGUGUACGACAGUGUCACUAACAGUGCAAGCCCAGAGGGUUAGCUAGAUCCGUCUGGACCUCGCUUUGCCAGGCCUCCCGAUGACCACAGUGGCCUGGACAGCUGUCACCCCAAGCAGGCUCCCACAACCUAGGAACAACACAUCCUUUCUCAGAAUUUAAGGAAACAGCCUUCGCUGGAAGCAACCGGCAAACAGAUGUUUCCUCCUGGCAGGCCAGAGCCGCCCGCCCUCCCACUGCAGGACUCCCACACUUACUGUGAGGCCAGGGCUGCACAGGGGAGACCCAGUGGUUUCGAUUCUUCUUUUUAGGCAGGGGGAGGAAAAAUUUUUUUAAAAUGUGUUUUACAAGCCUGCCUUUGCCAUUGUUUAUGUAAACAGGUAAAUUGUUUCCUGCCUCAAUUAAAAACAUCUGCCACAUAAAUGAAUACCAAUUAACUCA